GUUCGGUUGGCGUAAUGGCAACGCGUCAGUUUCCGGUUUCUACUGAGCAUGCUGAAGAUUGCGGGUUCGAGUCCCGUGCUGAACG